rnacentral:rRNA from 1 species
GCGUGGGAAUCUACCGUACCCUACGGAAUAGCUCUGGGAAACUGGAGGUAAUACCGUAUACGCCCUUCGGGGAAAGAUUUAUCGGGUAUGAUGAGCCCGCGUUGGAUUAGCUAGUUGGUGGGGUAAAGGCCUACCAAGGCGACGAUCUAUAGCUGGUCUGAGAGGAUGAUCAGCCACAUUGGGACUGAGACACGGCCCAAACUCCUACGGGAGGCAGCAGUGGGGAAUAUUGGACAAUGGGCGCAAGCCUGAUCCAGCCAUGCCGCGUGAGUGAUGAAGGUCUUAGGAUUGUAAAGCUCU